GUGUAACUGACAGUUAAUCUGUAAGUCUAUGUCGUUGUUUUUUGUUUGAAUUGUUUACGUGUUCGCUAUACGAGGGAAAUGAUAAGACAGGUGGAACUACGUGGCUAAUAACUGUUGUAACGGGGAUCAUUAUCGUAGCAACACAUCUUUGGGGGUGAAGGCUUUCCCGCGCGAUGUUAGCUAAGUUUUCAUGUUACCGGGUGUAGUUCGUAAAGGUUGAUAUGUGUAUGUUAGGAUGAAGCGUGAAUUCAUGCCAGGAAUAUAAGUGUGAAGUUUGAUUUCCUCCCUUCUGUAAUAAGCAGCCAAUGAGUUCUCACGGAAGGUGAUAAUUCUGACUAAACUACAGAAUAAAGCCGCCAGUUAAAAUCAA